rnacentral:lncRNA from 1 species
AAAAAAUUAUUUAUAAAAAUAAUAAUUAUCUUGUACAAAUAUUUACCUGAUGCAAUACCAUUGGUAAUACGUAGAUAGCAGAUACGAACCAUUGAAGCAACAAAUGAUUCGAAGUUUGAUAAGGACGUAAACCCCAUAUUAUUUCAACUAACCAUGUAGAUAAUAAUGAGUAUUGUUCAUAGUAACUUGAACCUUUCAAAGCCAUUAUACGAAGAAUCAAGAAUCGUAUUUUGUUUCGAAGUAAAGAAACUUUGUGAUUCGUCUUCAUUGCGCAUUCUAAUAACCCAUCAUUAUGGGCUUAUAGCAUCACUUAUAAAAGCCCCUUGACACGAUAAUAAUACCAUAAUGAUUGGAUCGAUUGAACGUUUACACUGAAAUAUUUUUGUUCUUUCUUUCUUUUCUAUAGACUUUUAUUUACACAGUUAACACGAGAACAGGUGAUUGUUCCCACCAAUUAAAUGGGGAGAGCUAGCAAUAAUUUUACUUUUUCUAUUCUACAAGGACAUGCGCAGUUAUGUUCGCUGAAUUCUGCUGACUUCAAUGUUUGCCAGUCGUUGUCGGAUUACGAAACGAGACGUUUGUUUUAAAAUGAAUCCAGUGAGUAAUGGAUAUUGGACCUUUAUGCUGACAGAUACAUAAAUUAAACGCUUUUUAUUGAAAAACGGAAAAAGUGGAAUCUUUUAUGAGGAAUACUAAAACGUUCGUAUUUUAAAUAAUAAAAUCAUAAUUUUAAUUACAGUGUAUUGUAAUAUACCGUUGCAAAUGAUAAUGCUUUUUGAACGAUCUGAAAUAAAAAUUUGUUUACUAGUG